GACAGAGUAGAUGCCUGCGCGUUAAGUGUUAGUGGAUGGGAAGUUGCCACUAAACGAAAGGGUUAUCCUGCGAUGCAGCAUCGCAUCCGCUGUC
rnacentral:ncRNA from 2 species